UACGUAGGCAGCGAGCGUUGUUCGGAAUUACUGGGCGUAAAGAGUGUGUAGGCGGUGCUCCAAGUCUGUUGUGAAAUCUCCCGGCUUAACUGGGAGGGUGCGGCGGAAACUAGAGUGCUAGAGGGUGGGAGAGGUAAGCGGAAUUCCUGGUGUAGCGGUGAAAUGCGUAGAUAUCAGGAGGAACACCUGUGGUGUAGACAGCUUACUGGACCACUUCUGACGCUGAGACACGAAGGCGUGGGUAGCAAACAGG
rnacentral:rRNA from 1 species